ACAACCCGUAUAAUAUAUAUCUAAAUUAAUUUGAUACAAAUGUUAUUAUUUGGUAUUGACACAAUUAUAAGUACCUAUUGGCAUCAUUAUAUACACAUGUUUAAAAUAAAACAAAAAUGACACAUGUCAUACAAUAAAGCCUAAAAAUAAAAAUCUAAGAACUAUGUAGAAUAUCUUCAUUGUACACAACUCCACAGCGGAAGAUCACGAUAAUCACCGUCCCUUGAAACAUUAGUAGAUAACUUCUCUUGAAUUCGACAUGCAAGGAAUACCUGAAAAAUAACAACAAUAAUAGGAUGAGAUAAUAAUCUCAGUGAGUUCUCCUAUCUUAUGGGUCCACUCGGCUCUACAGGGUUCCUACUCGAUUCUAACUCAAGUUUUCACCUUCCGUUACCUGUGCAUCAUUCGCACCUUGUAACUAGGACUUGAAUAUCUAAGGGGUAAUCGGAAUGUACAGAAACAUGUUAUUUGAGUGCAUCCACUCAACAAAUCACUAUUCGGACGUACGAAACAUCAAUCCUCGAAUAGUCUUACGUCUAAGCCAGGCCCGAUUCAUGCAUGCUCGUAUGAUUCGACUUUCGCGGUGGAUAUCGGGUCCUCUAUGAGUUCCAAACUAAUUUCAAGAAACUGUCACCCAUAUGGGACUCUAACCCACUUAGGGUAUCUUUCACCGUAUAGGACUCUAACCCACUUAGGUGUCCACCAUUCCCCCAUGUCUGCCAUGGUUGGGGCUCAAACCCAAUUGAGGCACGAAUCAUUGAUUCCACAUCCCCACUUACCGAUUUACCUAAGCCUUUGAAGUGGUACGUGCACAAGCAAAACUAAUUCUGAAUACGUGAUUAAAUCACAAUAAUAAAUAGGACUUUUUGAGCAACGCUCCUCACCAAAAUAGGGCUUUUGGAACGAAAGUUCCUCACCCAAAUAUCAAAAAAAUCUCAUGAUAUCAUAAAAUGAUCCAUUCUCAUACAUAAAUCACACAUGUUCCAUACAAAGCAUGUUAGCGUAUCAUUUUGUGACUACUUAUUCUUUGUACACACCACGAUACUAUUACGUCCAAGCAUCACUAUCUAAAUCACUUCAUAACUUAAGUUAUCUUUCUAAGUCAUUUACCUAAUAUUGUCCUAGGUUUACCUCACUCAUAAGUUUUAGUCAUUUUAUUGUGUAACCAAUACAAUCAACCAAUCAUAAGCUCUUAAUUAUUCAUGCACACACACAAGUACCACAAUCAACAACAUGUAUAACAUUCAUUAAAGUCCUCAAGAUGACAUAACAUGCUACAAGGUCCAUAGGCAAUGUUAUCACUCAACCCGCUGCAAUCUAACUCAUUAACCGAUCAUUCUAACCUAGUCGGAGAUCUAGGUUAAAACAUACACAAAGUCAUAUAAAUCGACCGAUUAAUGUUAAUCUAAUGCAUACACAUCAUGGUAUAAGUUAUAAUGCAUCCAAGUUGGUUUAGAAACAUGAAAUAAGUGGUUUUCCGAAAAACAAGGCUGAACCAAUCGAUUACAUGAAGUUUCUGUAACGUAUUUUUCACAAAAUUGACAGGACCAAUCGAUUGGUCUGCCAUGUCAAUCGAUUGACAUCAGUAAAAAUUCAGUUUUUUCUUCUCAUAAUCAUGAACCAAUUGAUUGGUUCUGCAAUUUUUCUGCAACCAAUCGAUUGACACCUGCAUAAUCUCUAAAAAUACCUCUUCUAAACAUUCUUCCUUCCAAAAUUAAUCAUACCCAUCCAUUCUAAAAUAUAUAUUAUCGUGAAUCAUGUGGUUAACCUCCAUCAUUUGAAUAACAAAACACAUAACAUCAAGCACUAAACAACAACAACAACAACAACAUGGUACCAACACAUAGCAUCCAAAGGAAGUAUGAACAUAACAAUUGCAUCAUAUAUUCACACAAAUCCUAACUCCCAAAACAUAUAUUAUUCCCCCCCCCCCCUAAAGGCUAAUUCCUAUCUAGAACUCACCUUGAAGAUGAAGAUGGUGAGAAGAAGAUGAGAUGGUGUUGGUGAAGAUGAUGAGUAGAAAAUG
rnacentral:lncRNA from 1 species